rnacentral:antisense_RNA from 1 species
AAUUAAUUUAAUCAGUUUUAAUCGAGAAAAUAAAGAGUAAAGAUAUAUAUUGAUUAAAAAACUAAAACAAUAAAUACAAGAAAUAUAUUGUAGGCGAAUAAAGCCAGAAUAGAAGGAAUAGAGUUUGUGUUUUUUGAAUCCAAGUGAUUGGAAUCAGAAUUGAUUGAAGUUGGAGAGUAGCUAAUUAAAGAAACUUGAACUUCAGAACUACAAUGUUUCUUACUUGUACAAGUUAAAACUUGGUCAAGAUCUUUAUGAGCCUUUUCGGAAGUAAUAGUGCUAGAUCCAUCAGGGGACUCACUGUUACAGCAUGUAGAAAAUGGGCUUAAAUCACAAGUAUUUGAAACCAAACUUAUGUUUUCAAUACUAUUACAACAACUUUCACCCAAAGAUUUUUGUGAAUUUUGGUAG